GGUUUACAUUGCGUUUUGUGUUAUACUGUACGAUGCAUAGCUCCACGGUUUACAUUGUGCUUUGUCUUAUACCGUACGUUGCAUGGCUCCAAAGUUUACAUUCUGUCGAAUAUGAAGUUAUUAAAGAAAUGUAUGUCAUUUAGCAUUAGAAUUUUGUCACAGUUUAGAAAUGAAUACUACAGAUGAAUUAUUGUAUUUAUCACAUACAAAUCUACAGAAUUAUGACCUUAAGGAACAUAAAUCUGUGGAAUUAGAACCCUGCAGACAAAAGUACUUAACUGUUUCAUCAUACCUACAUCUAAUGUCAAAUCAGCAGUAGCGUAACAAGAUGCUGUUUGUCAGAAUAUCUUCUACAUUAAACUUAAUCAACAUCAAAUGAGUUAUUACUGAUGCCUCUGUACCACUGUUUAUGAUGUGUCUUAAACAAUUGACACAAACAAUACAUAUUGAUCAAGGUGUAAUUAUUUGAUCAGAUUUUAUCCUCAAUUUUGAGGAACACAUCAAAUAUAACAACUUAAUGCAUUUACAUGAAAUAAUAACAAUAUAGAUAUUUACAUGAAAUAAUAACAAUAUAGAUAUUUACAUGAAAUAAUAACAAUAUAAAUAUGGGGAAUAAUAUACCAGUAAAAUUGCUUGUGCAAAACUCCUCUUACAUUUAUGAUAAGAAUUUAUAGUUGAACUGGUACUAAAGUCUGCAGUUUUUAGGACCACAAACAUAACAGAAAUUUGUACCACAUGGAAAACAACUAUUCUACAGUACAGAAAUCAUCUACACAAUUCUAAUUCUUUCUCUUUUUUAAUCUCUCAUAGGAAAUUUCCGUCUUAGAAAGUGCACCAUGGGAAAUGGGGGAACUUUCCAGCGUUUGUGACAUUGCAACAAGACUGACCUGUAUUUACAUGUGAGAAUGCACAGUUUUAUUAUAUAAAGAGCAGAUAACUCUGUAUUUAAAUAGAAGAAUGCAGUUUUAUUAUAUACAGAGCAGAUAACUCUGUAUUUGCAUAUAUGAAUGCACUGUUUUAUUAUUUUUUUUAGUUCUUUUAUAUUUACGAAAUUUUUACUUCACACAUAUAUCACUGUUGCAUACAUAUGAGAAAUAGGUUACACGGAUAUUUUCACACAACAUAUUCAUUUUGAAAUACAACUCAAUAACAUCAGGUAUACUGUCUGCAUUUCAUGUUUAUCUUAUUCUUUUAUGUAAGUAUAUGUAUGAUGUAAAAAUCUUUUUAUGGGGAGAGAGAGAGAGAGGGGGGGGGAGAGAGAGGGGGAGGAAAAAGAUAAAGGUACAUAAGUAUUAAUUUCUUGGCAACAGAUUUUGCAGGGAUCGAAAUUAACUGUUUUCACUACUAGCAAAUUUUAGUUAGUGGAUUAUUGUCCAACUAGCAAAAUUUAGCUUUUACUAGCAUUUUUCAAUCGAUUGCUGUUUUACAGGAAUUUAAGAAAACAAGCAUGUCUCUAUAUUAAAAUAUAGGAAAAAUCUUCUUUAAAGUGCAAUAAUAAAAAUAAGAUUGAGAAUUCUUUCAUUUACCAUUUAAUGAAUUAUCAGACAACAUGCAUUGGUGCAUGGUGAGGGUCAUAGGAUACACUUGUGUGGUGUACUAGCUGUCCAGAGAUCUACCACCUAUUUACAACACCACAUGGUUUGAAAUCUUGAAGACUGUUAGCGCCAAUUCAAACUACAUGUAUAUGUUAAAAACUUUUGGAAAUUUCAUCUAAUAAAUUCUAGUUGAAAAAAAACAACAACCCGCGCACUCGAAGUGUUUGACUAUAGACUACAGCAGGACACUGCCUGAAGCGGUGACACUAACACUUCAUGUGUUAAGUAAACACGGACGAGAUCAACAUGCUUGCUAUUUAAAUCAGACGUCUCCGAGACGCCUGAAGUGUGCUUGAAGUAGGCCAUUUUCGACAUCACUGACUGAGAUGAUCUUGGCCUUAGUUAUUUAUUCGAUCCACGUUUACUUUUUCAAUACAUUUAUAUUCAUUCUGUAAAGCAUUUCUAUGCACAAGACAAAGACAAAAUUAUUGUAAACUUCAAAGUACAGCCAGCAAACCGAGGAAAUUCGAAAAAAGAUUUUUUUCACUCGCAAAAAAUUGCGAUCGUUUGUGAUUUUUCACUCGCAAUUUUAAUUUUGAACUCGCAUUUAGCGAGUAUUUCCCCUUAAUUUCGUUGCCUAUUUUGAUAACUAUAAUAGAUCUAUAUAUAUCUAUUGAUCAAACCACACACACACAAAAACCAGACAAAAAACAAAACAAAAACAAGAUGUGUUUGUGCAACACAAAUGCCCCCGAUAAUGGCCAAUUCCGAAGAUGGCCAAAGUCACAAGGACAAAUAUCUUGGUACCAGUAAAAAGAUCUUGUCACAAGAAAUGCUCAUGUACAAUAUGAAAGCUCUAAUAUUUACCAUUUAGAAGUUAUGAUCAAUGUAAAAAAAAAAAAAAAUUAAAAGUAGGUCAAAUUCCAAGGUCAAGGUCACAGGGUAAAAAAUGUUGGUACCCACGGAAAGGUCUUGUCACAAGGAAUACUCAUGUGAAAUAUCAAAGCUCUACCACUUACUGUUCAAAAGUUAUUAGCAAGGUUAAAUGUUUCAAAAAGUAGGUCAAACUCCGAGGUCAAGGUCACAGGGUCAAAAAUGUUGGUACCCACGGAAAGGUCUUGUCACAAGGAAUACUCAUGUGAAAUACCAAAUUUCUAUCACUUACUGUUCAAAAGUCAUUAGCAAGGUUAAAAUUUCAGACAGAAUGACAGACAGGACAAAAACAAUAUGCCCCCUGAUCUUCGAUCUCGGGGGCAUAAAAAAAAAAACCAUUUGAUGAAAAAGUACAGAUAUAGUAUAGUAUAGACCUACAUGUAUAUACUAAUCAUAAGUUUCCACAUAUUCUCUGCCAGCGAGUUUCAUAUUCAUCCUAGUCCCUGGCAGUUUAAGGUAAGUAUGUAAAGAUUGUUUUCACUUAAGUUUUUAUCCAUGAUAGCCAAAGUUCUGACAGGAGCUUUGUCCUGUUCAAUGUAUAUGUACCUCUAAGGAAAGAAAAGAGAAUAGAAGGAAAAAAAACAUUGCGGCGAAGACUUGGAAAAACUCCCACAAAUAUUGAACCUGACAACAUGCUCGAGGAUUGCAAGUGUCUGAGCAAGUUCUACCAAAAACUACUUGUGAUAACCUGUGAAUUCUAUAAAUCCCGGUUUUUGGUGAAAAACUAUCGUUCGAUCGAAAAACACAACCUUACAUGUCGAGCAUGUGCACUUCCCC